rnacentral:lncRNA from 1 species
ACUGUUUUGAUAAGCUAAAGUAGAUCGACCAUAACUCUUUGCUCCGAUAUUGAAUUUGGGUGAAAUUGGUAUCGUUGGAAAUAUAAUUCAAAGGGAUUUUAUUUCAUAUAAAGUAAGCCACCCAGUUCGUCCUGUACAAGGAGUUAUGGUCGUUUGAAGUUGACCCUAAAAAAUUGUUUUGAGAGGUUGAAGUAAAACGAGUAUAACUCCUUACUCAGACCUUGGAUUUGGAUGAAACUAAUUGCAUUGGAAAGAAGACUCAAAGAUCUUUCUUUUCAUAGGUCGCAGCUCUCCUAGUUCAUUAUAUUAAGUGUGUUAUGAUCAUUCAAAGUUGACCCAAAAAAUUGGCUGGCCUUAGUAGUUUGUGUGCAGGAAAUUUUCCUGCACAUUUACUAUUCCCAAUAUCCCGGCCACCGUUUUAUAGUUUCGAACGUGCUCGAUUAUAUCCGAAAACUAUCCGUUUUUGGGAAUAUUUAUAUCGUUGGAAAGCUUAUUCAAUAACCUUCGCAUGGAACCAUCGACGGGCAAAUUCCGGUAUAAAUAAAAUAAAAAAAUUAAUUCCAUAUAAAUAAAACCAAUACACGUACUUGAAUACGCCAAUGUAUGUACUUGAAUACGGGGUGUUACAUCCUUCCCCCCCUUAGUACAUUCAUCCUCGAAUAUUAGUGUAGUUAUUCAACCGAAACAAGUUCAAGUC